GGAGGGUCCGUGGCUCAACGGUAGAGCAUCUGCCUCGCAUGCAGAAGGUCCCAGGUUCAGUCCCUGGCAUCUCCA